ACUAAGCGUACACGGUGGAUGCCCUGGCAGUCAGAGGCGAUGAAGGACGUGCUAAUCUGCGAUAAGCGUCGGUAAGGUGAUAUGAACCGUUAUAACCGGCGAUUUCCGAAUGGGGAAACCCAGUGUGUUUCGACACACUAUCAUUAACUGAAUCCAUAGGUUAAUGAGGCGAACCGGGGGAACUGAAACAUCUAAGUACCCCGAGGAAAAGAAAUCAACCGAGAUUCCCCCAGUAGCGGCGAGCGAACGGGGAGGAGCCCAGAGCCUGAAUCAGUGUGUGUGUUAGUGGAAGCGUCUGGAAAGGCGCGCGAUACAGGGUGACAGCCCCGUACACAAAAAUGCACAUACUGUGAGCUCGAUGAGUAGGGCGGGACACGUGGUAUCCUGUCUGAAUAUGGGGGGACCAUCCUCCAAGGCUAAAUACUCCUGACUGACCGAUAGUGAACCAGUACCGUGAGGGAAAGGCGAAAAGAACCCCGGCGAGGGGAGUGAAAAAGAACCUGAAACCGUGUACGUACAAGCAGUGGGAGCACGCUUAGGCGUGUGACUGCGUACCUUUUGUAUAAUGGGUCAGCGACUUAUAUUCUGUAGCAAGGUUAACCGAAUAGGGGAGCCGAAGGGAAACCGAGUCUUAACUGGGCGUUAAGUUGCAGGGUAUAGACCCGAAA
rnacentral:rRNA from 1 species